AUGCUUUAGGAGGGGCUUGCGCCAUAUUAGUUAGUUGGUAGGGUAAUGGCCUACCAAGACGAUGAUGUGUAGCUGGACUGAGAGGUUGAACAGCCACAUUGGGACUGAGACACGGCCCAAACUCCUACGGGAGGCAGCAGUAGGGAAUUUUCGGCAAUGGAGGAAACUCUGACCGAGCAACGCCGCGUGAAUGACGAAGUACUUCGGUAUGUAAAGUUCUUUUAUCAAGGAAGAAAAGCAAAUGGCGAACCAUUUGUUUGCCGGUACUUGAUGAAUAAGCCCCGGCUAAUUAUGUGCCAGCAGCCGCGGUAAGACAUAAGGGGCAAGUGUUAUCCGGAAUUAUUGGGCGUAAAGGGUGCGUAGGCGGUCUAGUAAGUCAGUGGUGUAAUGGCAACGCUUAACGUUGUCCGGCUAUUGAAACUGCUAAACUUGAGUUAGAUAGAGGCGAGUGGAAUUCCAUGUGUAGCGGUAAAAUGCGUAAAUAUAUGGAGGAACACCAGAGGCGUAGGCGGCUCGCUGGGUCUUAACUGACGCUGAGGCACGAAAGCGUGGGGAGCAAACAGGAUUAGAUACCCUGGUAGUCCACGCCGUAAACGAUGAGUACUAAGUGUCGGGUUAAACCGGUACUGAAGUUAACACAUUAAGUACUCCGCCUGAGUAGUACGUACGCAAGUAUGAAACUUAAAGGAAUUGACGGGACUCCGCACAAGCGGUGGAUCAUGUUGUUUAAUUCGAAGAUACCCGAAAAACCUUACCAGGUCUUGACAUGUUUUUGCAAAAUGAUAGUAAUAUCGUGGAAGGUUACCAGAAACACAGGUGGUGCAUGGUUGUCGUCAGCUCGUGUCGUGAGAUGUUAGGUUAAGUCCUAAAACGAGCGAAACCCUUAUCGUUAGUUGCCAGCACGUUAUGGUGGGGACUUUAACGAGACUGCCAAUGAUAAAUUGGAGGAAGGUGAGGAUCACGUCAAAUCAGCAUGCCCCUUAUGACCUGGGCUACAAACGUGAUACAAUGGCUGUUACAAAGGGUAGCUGAAACGCAAGUUCUUGGCCAAUCCCCAAAAACAGUCCCAGUCCGGAUUGAAGUCUGCAACUCGACUUCAUGAAGUUGGAAUCGCUAGUAAUCGCGAAUCAGC
rnacentral:rRNA from 1 species